AAGAAAGUGACAGAAUGGUUAUGUGAUUGGCUUGAAACCAGUUAAAGGGGGUUCGAUUCCUCCCUUUCUCG
rnacentral:tRNA from 1 species